rnacentral:rRNA from 1 species
GACGAACGCUGGCGGCGUGCUUAACACAUGCAAGUCGAACGGUGAAGGGACCAGCUUGCUGGUUCUGGAUGAGUGGCGAACGGGUGAGUAACACGUGAGUAACCUGCCCCCUUCUUCUGGAUAACCGCAUGAAAGUGUGGCUAAUACGGGAUAUUCUGGGUCUGUCGCAUGGCGGGCCCGGGAAAGAUAUUGUUUCGGUGGGGGAUGGGCUCGCGGCCUAUCAGCUUGUUGGUGGGGUGAUGGCCUACCAAGGCGGUGACGGGUAGCCGGCCUGAGAGGGUGGACGGUCACACUGGGACUGAGACACGGCCCAGACUCCUACGGGAGGCAGCAGUGGGGAAUAUUGCACAAUGGGCGCAAGCCUGAUGCAGCGACGCCGCGUGAGGGAUGGAGGCCUUCGGGUUGUAAACCUCUUUCGCCAGUGAAGCAGGCCUGCUCCUUGUGGGUGGGUUGACGG